rnacentral:rRNA from 1 species
GUGGGGAAUCUUGCGCAAUGGGCGAAAGCCUGACGCAGCCAUGCCGCGUGAAUGAUGAAGGUCUUAGGAUUGUAAAAUUCUUUCACCGGGGACGAUAAUGACGGUACCCGGAGAAGAAGCUCCGGCUAACUUCGUGCCAGCAGCCGCGGUAAUACGAAGGGGGCUAGCGUUGCUCGGAAUUACUGGGCGUAAAGGGCGCGUAGGUGGACAGCUUAGUCAGAGGUGAAAGCCCAGGGCUCAACCUUGGAAUUGCCUUUGAUACUGGCUGUCUUGAGUUUGGGAGAGGUGAGUGGAACUCCGAGUGUAGAGGUGAAAUUCGUAGAUAUUCGGAAGAACACCAGUGGCGAAGGCGACUCACUGGCCCAAUACUGACGCUGAGGCGCGAAAGCGUGGGGAGCAAACAGGAUUAGAAACCCGGGUAGUCC